rnacentral:rRNA from 1 species
UAAGGCGAGGCCGAAAGGCGUAGUCGAUGGGAAACGGGUUAAUAUUCCCGUACUUGGUGUUACUGCGAAGGGGGGACGGAGAAGGCUAUGUUGGCCGGGCGACGGUUGUCCCGGUUUAAGCGUGUAGGUGUGUGUUCCAGGUAAAUCCGGUUCACUUUAACACUGAGGCGUGACGACGAGGCACUACGGUGCUGAAGCAACAAAUGCCCUGCUUCCAGGAAAAGCCUCUAAGCAUCAGGUAACACGAAAUCGUACCCCAAACCGACACAGGUGGUCAGGUAGAGAAUACCAAGGCGCUUGAGAGAACUCGGGUGAAGGAACUAGGCAAAAUGGUGCCGUAACUUCGGGAGAAGGCACGCUGACACGUAGGUGAAGUGAUUUACUCAUGGAGCUGAAGUCAGUCGAAGAUACCAGCUGGCUGCAACUGUUUAUUAAAAACACAGCACUGUGCAAACACGAAAGUGGACGUAUACGGUGUGACGCCUGCCCGGUGCCGGAAGGUUAAUUGAUGGGGUCAGCG